rnacentral:lncRNA from 1 species
CUUUCCUUCCUUUCUUUUUGGUUUAGAGAAGCCCUUUCAAUAUUUCCUUUAACCUGGGUUUUGUGUUGCUGUAUUCUUUAAGUUUUUGUUUGUUGGGAAAAAUUUUUAUUUCCCCUUCUAUUUUAAAUGAUAUUCUUGCUGGAUAGAGUAUUCUAGGUUGCAUAUUUUUUCCUUUGAGCACUUUAAAUAUCUCUUGCCAUUCCCUCCUGGCCUGCAGUGUUUCUGUAGAGAAAUCAGCUGAUAUUCUUAUGGGGGUUCCCUUUUAGGUAACAUUCUGUUUUUCUCUUGCUGCCUUUAGGAUCCUCUCUUUAUCACUAACUUUUGCCAUUUUUAUUAUGAUGUGUCUUGGUGUGGGUCUGUUUGGGUUCAGUUUGUUUGGGGCCCUCUGUGCUUCUUGUAUCUUGAAUCCAGUAUCCUUUAGAUUUGGGAAGUUUCCAGCAAUAAUUUCUUCAAAUAUAUUUUCCAUUCCCUUAUCUUUUUCUACUCCUUCUGGAAUUCCUAUUAUGCGUAGAUUGGCCUGCUUUAUAUUAUCCCAUAGGUCUCUUAUAUUGCUUUCCAGUUUUUUGAUUCGGUUUUCUGUCUGUUGACCGGAUUGAGUGAUUUCCAUUAUUCUAUCUUCCAUAUCACUGAUUCGUUCUUCUGCAUUAUUCAUUCUGGUUUUUACUGCCCCUAGUUCAGUUUGCAUCUCUGCAAAUGAAUGUUCUAGUUUUUCUUGGCUCCUCCUUAUAUUUUCUAGUUCCUUUCUGAGGGUAUCUGCAUUACUGUUCAUAUCUUCUCUUAAUUCCUUCAGUAUUUUCACUAUUUCUCUUUUGAACUCCAGGUCUGUCAGACUGCCGAGAUCUGUUUCAUUGUUGACUGUUUUAGGUGAGUUCUCCUGUUGGUUUGACUGGGGGUGGUUUCUCAGCUUCUUCAUCUUGCUUGUUGUCUUCUUUCUCCUGAGGGAGUUGUACUCUCCGUGAUCGGGCAGUGUUUGCCUUGUCACUGCCGUGGAAUAUUUCCUGAGGGCUGGCGUUGUUGGUCAAUCUUUUUUGAGGCAGUGUGGCUUUUCUGGAGUGUUGAUGGGGCUAACAGUGUUUCUUUGAAGCAAAGGAGGACUUCCUGAGGGCAGACAGGACUGAGAGGUCCACACCGCGAUGGUAGCAGAUUUCACUUGGUCAUGCAGAGCUUGCUCUGGUGUUUUUAGGCUGUGGGGUUCUUGCAGGGGGUUGGCGGUGUUGGGCAGCUGCUCUUUAGGGGUGCAUCACCCCCUGGGGGCUGGCGCAGCUAUCUGGGGCACUGAGAACCUGAGAGGCUCUUCCCUAGGGCAGCCCAACUCAGAAGGACAGCCUGAGAAUGUAGGCGGAUCUUUUCACAGUCUGGCUGAGCUUGUUGCAGCUUUUCUGGGCUGCAGGGGGUCCUGCCUGGAGCUGGCAGUCCUAUGCAGCUGGUCCACUAGAGCAUCCCCUGGGUGCUUGGGCGGGUAGCAGGGCCGUUGGAAACCGAAGAGGCUCCUCCCCGGGGCAACCCGACUCAGAAAAACCGUCCGAGAAUUAGGUCGAUCUAUUCACAGCCUGGCUAAGCUUGUUCUAGCUUUUCUAGGCUGCAGGCCUUUUCUCGGGGGCUGGUGGUGUUUGGUGCUGCUCUGAGGAAGUGUAGCCCCUCCAAAGGGCAAGCAGGCCUGUGCAGGGACAGCCCCUGUGGUGGUAGGCUUCAGGCAAUUGUUGAGGCCAGCCCUCCUGGAUGGCAGGCAGCCCCAGGUCCGUGAGGCGUAGGGCGUGGCAGGGUGGGGGGAGGGGAUGCACUGGGAAGCAGAGUUUUCAGCUAGCUAGCGGGCCUGUAAACUUGCUGUGGCGUGGAGGGUAUUCUAUGGGACCCACCCCUUUUCUCUCCCCUCCCCAGCACGGGCACAGACCAGGCUCUUCUCCCAGGUUCCCUCUGAGGCGGCUUUCCACUUCCCCGCCCCUGGAGUAUUGCUCCCUUCCUCUGCGACAGCUUUGUUUUCUAGUCUCCCAGGCAGUCUCUGCCCCGUCAACUGGUUUCUAGACCUCCCAAGCAGUUUCCGCUCUUCCCCGCCCCCCUAGCCCGGGGACUAAUCUCUGGAGCCGAGGUCUCGGUGCCCAGCCCCCACCCAGGCAGCGCCCCCCGGCCCUUUCCCGGGGACUAACCUUCAGAGGCGAGGACUCGUGCCCAGCCCCCACCCAGGCGUCUCAAUUUUUGGUGGCUGUGCCCGUAGUUCAGAUGGUCCGUUGGGUUCUUGAUCGGCUUUUCCGUACUCCAACUUACUGCUACACUCUUCUCUGCAUCUGGAGAUUCCUCCGGUUCGUUUGCUCUUUCGCCCGGUAGGUGACUUUCCAGGGUGCGGGAUCCCUUUUUCCUCCGCAGUUCCCUUUCGGGAGCCCCCGUCCCGCUCGGAUUCACCUUCUCUCACUCUCCUCUUUUCUCCUGUUCUGCCCAAUAAUGUCACGAAUUUCUUGCCGUUAUUGGAGUUUAGGUUCCUCUGCCAGCGAUUGGUUGCUGUUCUGUGCGAGUCAUUUAUUCUGUAGAUGUGCUUUUUUUGUUGUGUUUGUGGGAGAGGGCGAGCGUGUCUUCCUACUCCUCCGCCAUCUUGUCCUCUCUCUGUUUUAAUCAUUUUCUAAUGGAAAGUUAAAUGAAAACAUUUCCCUGCUAAAGCAUAUCCAGAAUUUACUCAAAUUUUCUUGGUUGCCUAUAGUAAUAAUGGUGAAUAUUAGUUAUUGUUUGGGGCUGUAAAAUAUUUAUACACUCAGGGACUUGAAUUGUUAUGAUAUGUUUCUAUUGCAGAUAAUUAUGGAAUCUUACGGCAUUACCUAAAUUGUUCUUCAUUUAAUUUCAUGGUUACUCUUUUUUUAUAAUGAUUUUUAUAUUCUUCCUUUAUAGCUGGUUUAUAGUGUUCUGUCAAUUUUCUCUGUAUACAUAGUCAUUUUUCUCUGUAACCUUAUAUGAUAGUGAGGAAGAACAACAGAAGAUGAAAGACAUGCAUAUCAAGGUAAUUCCAUAUAGUAAUAACUGCUCUGAAGUAAAUCGAAGAGAAAUGUCAAGAGAUUGAGCCAAUAGAGAGUAAGAUGGUAUGGAAGGAAAUCACCUUUCAAGAGGAAAAUUUUAAGUGAAACCUAAGUAGAUGACAAGGAGCUCAUGAUGCUAAUCUCUAAGAGGAAAGACGGAGCAGAGGACAUAAGUUUGAAGAACUGAGAAAUUGCUGAAGCUGAGUAAGCAGUGGGUUUGAGAUAAUAAGAGUUGAGGGUAGAGAAUUUUCGACAUGGCACAGAUCAUAUAGACCUUGGAGGCUCUCAUAAGGAGAAAAAUAUUAUUCCAAUUAUAGAGAGAAACAUUGAAGUAUUUUAAGCAUAGGAAUGACCAUCACUUUUAUACUUUAAAAAGAUGAUUCAGGCUUCCUGAUGGAGAAUGAAAUGUUUGACAAUAAAAUUGAAAGCAAGGAGACUAGCUAGGAAGGUAUUGUGUUAGUCCAGGCAGACAUGUAGCAAUGGAAGGGAAGAGAAGUAGAUUUACUAAAUACAAUUUGAAGGCAAAAUUAAACAAACUUGUUGUUGAUAGCAUAUUUUUUCCCCUAACAGUUUUGCUACUACUUUUUUGUAAAUUCUUACACUCAGAUUCUGAGGUGGUUACAGUGAUCUAAAACGGAUACUGAGUAAUAGUUUGAAGGGUUUCUUAUAAGUGGAGUUUGAACCAACUCUAUGUCUUUAUACUGCUAUGUGGGUUCUCAGAGGAUUAUUGGAGAUUAUUUUCUAUAAAAAUAUGAUAUUGGUAUACUAUGGAGUAAUUUCAGUAUUUUUAUUUUGAGGAAAUAAACAUCAUUUUGAAAAAGCUAGCUUAAGAUUCUCAUUACACUGGAGCAAAGCGAUAAAUGUUUACAAAGAAAUUACAUCUCCUGGUAGUUAGACCAAAUUUUGGAGCCUUUGAAAUACUGUCAUUUUCACUGAUCAUGUACUCUCUGACCUUGCUCAAUACAUUUAAUGGCUCCAUGUUACAGUUUCUCAAUCUCAAAUAGCAAUAAUGAUCUUUUGUAUUUAAGUUGAGAUAUAUUUGUAAAGUGCAUGGAGCUUGCCAACAGGAAAUCACUACAUACACGACAAUUUAUUGUUAGUUUUAUGGCCAAUUCAAAUCCCAAAGGAAUUGAAGUCAUUUUCAUUUGAAGGUUGUCCAGUUCAUUUUUUAGAUGGAUGACUGACCCAGUACAAUAGUCACAUAGAGCUUCUGAACAAUUGCACUGAAACUCUGCCUUAGCCAUGACAGAAAAAAAUACGAUUGUUAAAUCAAUAUAGCUAUAAAAAGGACAUGCCUUUAAUCCCUAGACAGUUGGAAAAUGUGAGAAAAUGGUGGGAUUGUAGGAUUAAAGAGAAGUCAGCACUAUUUUCUAAAAUAUUGUUUGAAUUUUAAGAUGAAAUAAUUGAGGACUGCUUAAAUUUUUUCUUAAGUAUUCAUGAGAAAUAUUUUUUAUUUAAUUAAAAGUUUACUGUGCACCUUUUGAUAGUAAAGUCAAUCUGAUGAGUGUGAUGAGAGAUAUGUGUUUAUAGUAGCAUGAAUUUCUGGAAAUAAUUUUUGUUUGAUUUAUGAAUUACUUAUGAGAUAAAGUAAGCAGUAUAGAGAAGAGGACAUUACAACUAUUUCCACAGUACAGAUAAGGGGGGAAGACUGCUUUCCUCCUAAGAAAAUAAGGUUAGUCAACAUAUUCAAUGGAAAUGUAAUGGUUAUAUUUGUGGAGAGUUGAAUUCUUUAAUUUCACUGGAACAUAUAGGGCGAGAAGGGGAGAGUGAAAAGAUAGCAAAUAAGUAAGAAAGAGCCUGAGUAGCCGUUGAUAAUACUUACAAUGACAUUCUUAGAAUUUGGAUGUUGUAUUAUAGAUGGGAAGACUACAAUUGGAAUAAUCCGAUCUUUGCUUAAUUAAGAAAAAAGCCUUUUCAGUGGUGUCUGCAUAGAGAUACA